rnacentral:rRNA from 1 species
CUACGGGCGGCUGCAGUGAGGAAUAUUGCACAAUGGGGGGAACCCUGAUGCAGCAACGCCGCGUGGAGGAUGACGCAUUUCGGUGUGUAAACUCCUUUUAUAUGUCAAGAAAAUGACGGUAGCAUAUGAAUAAGCACCGGCUAACUCCUUGCCAGCAGCCGCGGUAAUACGGAGGGUGCAAGCGUUACUCGGAAUCACUGGGCGUAAAGGACGCGUAGGCGGGUUGGAAAGUCAGGUGUGAAAUCCUACAGCUUAACUGUAGAACUGCACUUGAAACUUGUAAUCUAGAGUAUGGGAGGGGGAGAUGGAAUUAGUGGUGUAGGGGUAAAAUCCGUAGAUAUCACUAGGAAUACCUAAAGCGAAGGCGAUCUCCUGGAACAUUACUGACGCUAAGGCGUGAAAGCGUGGGGAGCAAACAGGAUUAGAUACCCUCGUAGUC